AUGGCAACUGGGAAAGGCAAGCACAGUCAGCUGCUCAAAGAGCUUCAUUUCUUUCCUUUCAGCUCAAUCCAGCCUUGCCAGGGCACUGCUGUGAGUUGUGGUGGUUUGAUGAGAGGGGGACAGGCUCGACAAGUCCUGCUCAGCAAACAUCUCCCUCAGACACAGCAUGUGCUCCCACCAUGGCACUACCUGGGGAGCAAAGUGGUGCUUUGUACGAGGAGACAGAAAAGCAGCAGGGCCAAAGUGGCUGGAGCUCUGUCUGUGUUCUCACCACGCGUGGUUAAGCCCAGGUUCAUGCUUGGUGAAACCUGUGCUGUCAAGAGAAGUUUGGAAAACAGCCUUAGGAUCCAGGACUGCAGAAAGCAGCUCACAGGCAGGACGGAGCUUCCACCCAGACCCUGGGGAUGGCCAGGCUCCCCUUUCCAGCUUGCCCAUCCUUCAACCUAACAUCUGAUUUGUCUGCUUUUCUCCCAUGGAAAACUUUAUUUUGUAGUUAAAAAUAAGCCUCAGGGGUUAAUUCUUUCUUGUUUUUGUGAUUCAUCUCUCAAAUGUGGGUGUAUUACCUUGUUUUCCCUGGAUCGGAUACUCCCUUCUUUUUUCCCCAAGCAGAGCUUUGCUGUCAUUUUAGUUCCCACUGCCACAGUUCUCACAGCAUGUUUGUUCAUCUAAAAGUAAAUGCUCUGCUAGGAGCAGAAAUCAUUUUUCAAGAAAACAAAAGAACAAAGAAAUUGAGUUUUACAGAAGUGAAGGUAAAUUAUAUUUACAAAAAGAGCCUCACAAAAAUCUGAUUACCAGCCCAGUGGUCUUGCAGCCCAAGACUUUUUUUUUGUUGCUGUUUUACUGGUUGUAAACAACUUUAUGGUCUUAAGGCUUUAACAAGCGCCUUCAAACAUCUCAGUGGCUUGUCAGCCUACUUUGGUGUUACAGAUUUCUUCAAAACUACUGAUUUUUCUGGUAGAAAGAAGCAGUGCAAGGUGCAAACCCAGCACAGCCAGAGGAGCAGGUGAGAAUAGAGCUUUCACAAGUUAAGGCUUAUGAACACCCAGGCUGUGAGAGAAGGGAAAAAAAGAAAAAAAAAGUUUUGGGAUGUUUUACAGUAUCUAAUGAGAUCUCCAUCUCUGCCUGAAGGUAAAUGGGUCACUGCUGGAUGAGGAAUUUGGCUGCAUUUUUGCACUGUCUGACAAUUGGGAAAGUGCUGUGUGCCACCCCCUCACCUUCCCAGACCUGCUCUUCUGUAAAAAAUAUAAAUGUAGGGGAGAGAAGGGGAGGUUUUCAAACCUUCUCCUUUCUUGGGCAAUCUCUGACAGUAAUCUCAAGCAUGAGCUCCCUUCUUUCCUGAGAAGUCCCAUGGAAAGCUGAACUCGUGCUUCAGAAGGAGGGGCAGCUGGAACCUCUUAGCAGCAGAUGAGCUGCUUUAUGUUUUGUAUUAAGUAAUGAAGGGGUAUAAACAAAUUACCGUUGUCUGGGGCUUUCGUGUGCAUUUCAGUCGGGGCUGGAUUCUUCCCAUAAGGUCAAGCACAGGCGGAAUACCCAGGCAGCAGCAGGAGCAGACAGUCGUCGCCAAAUCAGUGAGAGAGGGUGUGGAGCACUGAGGAGAUGGGAGCAGCAGGAAAAAGCACUGAGGAAACACUGAGGCUGGCUUGGACAUACGGGUUAACCAGCCAGAGGCUGAGUGUUUGUCCAGGGCUACAACCCUGGUGUGGGGCAGCUGCAAAAAUGUACUGAAGUACCGAGUGAUGAAUGGGGAAUGGUCAGAUUACAGGAAUAUUUAUUUAUAUUUAAUAUUUCUAUAUUUCUAUUUCUAUUUUUAUUUAAUAUUUCUAUUUUAUAUUUAUGUAACUGACAAUCCCUUGUAAAUAACUCCUGUUAUCCUCGAAUACUAAGCUACUUCAAGCCUAAUUGAAUAGACAUUUAAGAUGUUUAAUUUAGUGUUUUCCUCAUAUGACAACGGGAUAUUUUCACCCUCUUGUUCUCUGGGGGGAGGAAACUGAAUCAGCAUCUUCCCUUUCUCCAAAGUGGUUCCUCCCGUUUAUAAAGUGUCUGGAGGCCACGAGGAGUUUUCCCUGCAAAAAAUGAAAGAGCUGUUGCUACAACAAACAACUUUGUUCCCUUUUUGCCUGCUUAGGCCCUCGGAUACACUUUGAAUAUGAAAGCAUGUGGUGGUGAUGAUGAUGCAAGAGGUCACUAAUAAUGCUCAUACCCAUUAAUUACAAAAGCAUAAAUAACAUGUAAGUAAUACAUCCUUGAUCUGGCUGCUGAACUGCAAUAAAGAAAAAAUAACAAGAGCA
ensembl:lncRNA